rnacentral:lncRNA from 1 species
CAUUUACAUCAUCCGGCACCUUAUGCCUUCAAACUUCCAUCGCAUCUCAUAUUAAUUGUAAUGCAAAAUAUUUAUCAAACAAAUUAAAAUGCAAAUACUCAAAAACUACAUUAUCGUUGUAUUGAAGUUUCAAAGAGUAAUUUAACAUAACAAUACUCAAGAGAGUCAUAGCUAAUCCUAACAUGAUUACUAAUCAGCACUCGCUGAAUCAAUACUGUUACUUUCUUCCAAAGAUAUUCCUGGCCCAGUUUGUAGCGAAGCACCACUUCUUAAAUCUGGUGCCUGCAAAAGAAAGAGACAAUCAAUAACUAUUACAGAAAAAAUAUUGAGAGAUCACAAUGACUAACACAUUGUCAUCAAUAAGAACAGGAAAAUGGAAGUUAAAUAGCUUCAGAAAGUAAGUGAUGAAUAUAUAAUUCACUCCAUGAUCUAUCUAUAACAGAAUGACGAUUUCUGAAAGAGAAUGAGACACGCUUCCUGUUACGACUACAGUAUGUAUAUUACUUUGAUCCCUCCCCUCACCCCACGCCUCAAUCUAUCACCCACCCAUUAUCGUACCUUGCAAGAAAGAGAGGAAGAGGAACAUAAUCGUUCAUCUCGUGUCUAUCAGUAUAUGCCAUGCAACUUCUAAAAGAUAUGAAAUUAGUUAACUGAUACACUAUCAGAUCCUUCAAGAUUUGUUCUCCUUAACGUACAGUCAUAAGAAGAGCUCACAGAGUCAAGAGUAUAUAUAUUACCUCUGUGGGUAUAGAUUUAAUUUUGGAAAAUGAUAAAAAGUCUUACAUCCCUAAGACGAGAGUAUUUUCAAAGUAUGAUCCAACUGGAAAUCACCGUAUGAAUAAUCUCUUAAUAAUCUCUUACAAUCAAAGUUGAUACAUGUUUUUACAUGUUCUUUACAUCCAUGCUGCUAAAUCUUGUGAUGGACGCAAAAUUAAUAUUGCUAUUAAAGCAACAAGAUUGACAAACCAGACCAUACCCCUAGUUCUCAGAAGACAUAAUAUCAUGGGAUUUGUGGGCAAUCCUCAUCCUGAGCUCUACUAAUAUUUUUUCCCUUAUUCCUUAAGAAGAUACUUCUUUUAACUAUAUGAAGAAGGAGGGUGGAGAUGUACAAGAUAAAAUUAAUAUAUGGGAAAAGAUGUUGUAGGAUGACAGUGUUUGACUGCUGCUUUAAGGCUAUAUAAUGUGCGAUCUAACUAAACAAGUGGUCGAACUUGACAGCUAGGAAACAAGCAGACUGUAACUUCAACUUGAACAGCACCCUAGUCAAGUUUUACACUCUGUGACUUAAAUUAGCAAUUAAAACUCCUUUUGGCUUGCCAAUCCUUCCUAUAUCUGUCAGCACUGUUCGUAUAACCUUAUCAAUAUGAACAAAGUGUUAAAAAGAAUUAGAACACAAACAUCAUCACUUCCCGUUCAGGAAUUGCAUGAUCAUAAAAGCACAAGUGAAAUACAAUUGCCAAAGCACAAAGACAAAUAUCCAGAGAGAAUUAAUUUCCUCAAAAAAUCGACAUUAAAGAGUUGUCACAUAAUGAAGUUCAUUGGCUACCUUGUCAUAAACACUAAAAGAAAAGAAAUCCAUUUUAGAGAAAACCAUGCUCGACACUAGACCAUACUCAACGUGACCAUAAAUAGCUCAUUCUUAAGAAGAAAAUAGCCCAGCAUAUUAGGCUUAUACUGAAGAACCAAAUAGAACAAGCAAAAAAUAAACUGAACUGAACUAAAUUCAAUAUAUACAAUCAAAAAUCUGAAGUUCUUUAAAAUCAAACAGAAAUACCAAAUGCCCAGCCCUGCUCUCCACCCCCACCCCUAUAAUAAUUCAGCUCAACAACUUGCUGUUGGGAAUAAAAUAUUAAUUCCCACUUUACUUGGUCGUUGAACAAUAUGAAAAAUAACACAAGCAAUCGGAACACCAAAAUUUACGUGGAAAACCCUCCCAAAUUUAGAGGGAAAAACCACGGGCCAAACUCN